ensembl:snoRNA SNORA73 Small nucleolar RNA SNORA73 family
CCAAAGAGAAUACCCCAGGAGGUUAUUCUCCCUGGGCUCUGUUCAAAUGGCAUAGGGGAGCAUAAGGCUCUGCUCCAUGAUGUACAGUCCCAUUCCACAAUGCUGGAUAUGAAGCAGGGCCUUUGAGUCUAUGCCUGCCUAUUCCUGCAUUUUCUCAUAGUUCUGUGGACAAUGAAUGAUGAGACAAACCAUGCAAGAGACAGUC